CGACACUCCCCCCUAAACAGAGCUGGACACGCCCACUUUUCUGACUUUUUCCAAAGUAGAGGUGUGAAAACACCCUGCUGAAACGAGGGGGUUUCAUGGCCCUUUAAGGUGCAACCAGGUAUGCAAUGAAAGCCAGUGUGAAAGGCAUGAAAACAGAUGCGGAGAUUCAUGUGGAGAAUGCGGGCAUCGAUCCCGCUACCUCUCGCAUGCUAAGCGAGUGCUCUACCAUUUGAGCUAAUUCCCCUCGCUGGAAAAAAAUUUGGCUAUUUUUGACGUAAUCAAAAAAGAAAAAAAAGACCACAUCUGCUCUGCGGUGGCCCCUUUGCCCUGCUUGAUAUGUAUUCGUCAAAUUGCUUGGAAUAGCAUGCUUUUUUCAAAAGGUCCUACCCGGUCCUGCUCCAGGGAACGUGUGAGGAGUCCUGCAUGCCGAAUGACGAGUUAUCCCUAAAUCACUCCACAUUGGCAGUGCCCUGGAUUUCUAUGUUAGUGUGCAGAAAGUGGCCGGUUAGCUCAGCUGGUUAGAGCGUGGUGCUAAUAACGCCAAGGUCGCGGGUUCGAUACCCGUACUGGCCAAACUUUUACCCUCCUGUGCCUCAGACGCAUUCAAGAGCUCUGCUAGGUCUCACCGACAUCCAUGCUGCAGAGCAGUUGAGACAAGACAGCCGAAAUAGCUCAGUUGGGAGAGCGUUAGACUGAAGAUCUAAAGGUCCCUGGUUCAAUCCCGGGUUUCGGCAAAGCAGCGUUGACGUUCAGUUUUUGGCAUGAGGGUCAGGGAACCGAAAGUCACUCAAAAA